rnacentral:tRNA from 1 species
GCCUGGCUGGCUCAGUCGGAGAAGCACAUGACUCUUGAUCUUGGGGUCGUGAGUUCGAGCCCCACGUUGGGUG